rnacentral:rRNA from 1 species
CCCUUAGAUGUUCUGGGCUGCACGCGCGCUACACUGAAGCGUUCAACGAGUAUUCACCUUGCCCGGGAGGGUUGGGUAAUCUUUUGAAAACGCUUCGUGAUGGGGAUAGAUUAUUGCAAUUAUUAAUCUUCAACGAGGAAUUCCUAGUAAGCGCGAGUCAUCAGCUCGUGCUGAUUACGUCCCUGCCCUUUGUACACACCGCCCGUCGCACCUACCGAUUGAAUGGUCCGGUGAAAUCUCCGGACUGGCGUGAGUCGGAGCAAUCUGACAAACACCGGAAAGUUGAUUAAACCUUACCAUUUAGAGGAAGGUGAAGUCGUAACA